AGCGAACGCUGGCGGCAGGCCUAACACAUGCAAGUCGAACGAACCUUUCGGGGUUAGUGGCGGACGGGUGAGUAACACGUGGGAACGUGCCUUUAGGUUCGGAAUAACUCAGGGAAACUUGUGCUAAUACCGAAUGUGCCCUUCGGGGGAAAGAUUUAUCGCCUUUGGAGCGGCCCGCGUCUGAUUAGCUGGUUGGUUGAGGUAAUGGCUCACCAAGGCGAGGAUCAGUGGCUGGUCUGAGAGGAGGAUUAGCCACAUUGGGACUGAGACACGGCCCAAACUCCGACGGGAGGCAGCGGUGGGGAAUCUUGCGCAAGGGGCGAAAGCCUGACGAAGCCAUGCCGGGUGAAUGAUGAAGGUCUUAGGAUUGUAAAAUUCUUUCACCGGGGACGAUAAUGACGGUACCCGGAGAAGAAGCCCCGGCUAACUUCGUG
rnacentral:rRNA from 1 species